UACAAAGAUUUCCUCGGUAACGGCACAAAUCUCCGGGGCAGAGCCAACCGAGACCCAAGGGCCCAGGUUGGGCCGGAAGCCAUCGCGAGGCCCCGGACGCCCUUGGAGAAUGAAUGACCUGACACAAGAAGACCCAAGGGAACAAACCUGAAAGCCAGCACCUGAAAGCACAGACUGCUGGGAGGCAGAUGGCAUUAGACACUGUCCUCACAUAUAAGAGGCAUCACUUCUUUAAGAUAGAGGCGGGCUUUUCAGGCCCCAUUCCUGUACGUUUAACCUGACUAGAAGGAAAAAAGAGGGAGGAAAGACAAAUGAUGCAAAGAUGGGAAGAUCAACCCUUAUUAUCUUUUAAUACCUACUGUGUCUAAAGUGAUAUCCUCUCCUUCAUUCCUGAUAUGGUGAUAUAGGAAGAGAGUGGUCCCAGGAGGCAGCCAAGACAAAGAUAUUUUCCAUGUAUUUAUGCAAACACAUGUAUAUAUAACCCCCAUGUAAAGAAGUAUGACUACCCUGCUGAAGAGAGGGGCUUCGUGGAGGGAGUGUGCCUCUGAAGGAUAAGAGACUAUGGAGAGAGAUAGAUCCAGCCAGCCUGUAGUUAUUCCAGCUACUCCAGCUGAGGCACCAGAGAUGUGAUUGAUGUCAUCUUCUAGCCCAAGUCAGGCCACCUCAGCCAACACCACAUGAAGCAGAGACAGCUGUCACCACUUAUCCUGUUCAUGUUGCAGAAUGGAUCCAACCUAGUUCUCAAAUCUGAGGAGAUUCCCAAUGGAGGCUGAAUGAAAUUGCUAUUGGUGUGUGGCAAAAUGGUAUUAUGUAGUAGCAAAAUGAAUGGCAACACUUUUAUGCAAUAAAACAUACAAGAUAUAAAAUAUACUUUAUGAACCUGUGGAUGUGGCAAAGGAGAUCUUUAGGAUGAAUGUUCAAAGUGUCAGUUGGCUUCUUUUAGGGAUGUACAAUGGUGUACAAUACAAGUGAGGUGUGAUGAUAUCAGAAGAAAGAGAUGUAUUAAAUAAGGAACUAUUCAGUUUUCAAGCAGAAUGUAAAGGAAAUAUACAAGGCCUAGGAGAGUCUCUUUAGCCAGCAAGAGUCUUAAAGUAAGAAAUGGCCUAAAGGGCCUGCCUGUAAAUUGGCCUCAAGAUAAGGAUCCAAUGAAGACUCUGUGCUAAGACUUCUAAAAGAUUUAAAUAUUGCCUCUCAUCUAGACAAGAGUUUCUAAGAAUCUUAAGGGCUGUCCCAUAGCAGCCACCUCAACAGUUCCAAAGUAAAAGGAGGUUUGUUUUUAAAAGAAUUAUAGAUGUUGCUUUGUAGGCAAGGAGUGAACCCCAAUAAGAGUCAUAGAAAACCCACAAAAUUUAAAGAGAAUUCUAUGGAUAAAACUGCACCAGCUCAAACUAAAGAAGAAACAGUUCAAAAUGAAAAAAAAUCUUCCAAGCCCCCAAUUUUCUAUGAGCAAGAAGUUGGCUAAGAGAAUUAUUCAACCAUAAAGGGAAGGCAGUUUCUUAUGAAAAAGGAAAAUUGACUAAGAGGUUCUAGCCUAGACCCCAGGGGGUGAAGCCAAGAGCUAUUGAGAAUAACAGAUUAGGAAAUUACUCCCAGGGAGAAGAACUGAGGCUGUAAUGGAGAACUUGAUCCUCAGAGGCAUGGUGACAGUGUUUGGCUGGAUUUUAGAAUUGCUAUGCACAAGCGACAGUUAUAUGCCUUCCAUUCCCCACCUCCCUUUUGAACAGGAGUGUCUAUUGCAGUUAUUCCAUCCUGUUUCAGGAUUGUAUGUUGUGUAUGUAUCUUGUCUUUUUAGUUGACAGAUCUCCAGAUGAAGAGAAGCAACAUCUGAAAUGCCUCAUCCACAUCUGGGUCUAAUGUAUACUAGAUCCUGAAUUUUGGAGCCAAUGCUACACAGAAUGGUUACUUUAGGGAAGGGGAGUGAGUGUAUUGUGUGUCUGUGGGUAUGUGCGUGCACACACAUGUGCAUAUGUGUAUACUGUAGUUAGAGGAUAGACCAUGGUAGAGUGUUUCCAAAUAUGACUGCCAACAAUUUCUCCUAUCUCAGCUACUACUUCCAUCAAGAAGUAGGGUAUUUUUCUCCUCUUUUUGAAUCUCGGCUGGCCCUACAAUUUGCUUUGGCCAAUAGAAUGCAAUGGAAGUGACAUUCUGGGACUUCUGAACUCAGGCUUUAGGAGACCCUGUAGCUGCUGUUUUCUCUCUUUGGGGAUCCAGCCACUGUGCAGAAAAGCUUGGACUGGACCACUGAAUGAUGAGAAAUCACAUAAAGAGAGGUAAGCCCCUAACCAUUUCAGCUACUCCAGCUGAGGUGCCAGAAAUGUGGAUGAUGCCAUCCAUCUUGGACAUUCUAGAUCUUGCCAGACUCACAGCUAAAUAAAGCACAUGUCUGACCCUAGCUGACACCAUGGGGGAGCAGAAGAACUACCCAGCUAUGCCCUUCCCAAAUUGCACAGUUGUGGGGAAAUAAAUGAUGGUUGUUAUCUUAAGCCACUAAGUUUUAAGGUGAUUUAUUAUGCAAAAAUAGAUA